GCCUGGGUGGCUCAGUCGGUUAAGCGUCUGACUUCGGCUCAGGUCAUGAUCUCGCGGUCCGUGAGUUCAAGCCCCACGUCGGGCU
rfam:Felis catus isolate Cinnamon breed Abyssinian chromosome X, whole genome shotgun sequence.